UACGUAGGGGGCUAGCGUUGUCCGGAAUCAUUGGGCGUAAAGAGCGUGUAGGCGGUCCGGUAAGUCCGCUGUGAAAGUCGGGGGCUCAACCCUCGAAUGCCGGUGGAUACUGUCGGGCUAGAGUGCGGAAGAGGCGAGUGGAAUUCCUGGUGUAGCGGUGAAAUGCGCAGAUAUCAGGAGGAACACCUAUUGCGAAGGCAGCUCGCUGGGACGUAACUGACGCUGAGACGCAAAAGCGUGGGGAGCAAACAGG
rnacentral:rRNA from 1 species